rnacentral:rRNA from 1 species
UACGAAGGGGGCUAGCGUUGCUCGGAAUUACUGGGCGUAAAGCGCACGUAGGCGGCUUUCUAAGUCGGGGGUGAAAUCCUGGAGCUCAACUCCAGAACUGCCUUCGAUACUGGAGAGCUCGAGUCCGGGAGAGGUGAGUGGAACUGCGAGUGUAGAGGUGAAAUUCGUAGAGAUUGGGAAGAACACCAGUGGCGAAGGCGGCUAUCUGGACGGUUUCUGACGCUAAGACGCGAAAGCGUGGGGAGCAAACAGG